GGAAGGAACGCUUUUAUUAGAUCAAAACCAAUCGGUGGCUUGUCCAUCGUUACUUUUGGUGACUCUGAAUAACUUUCUGCUGAUCGUAUGGUCUAGUACCGACGACGAAUCUUUCAAAUGUCUGCCUUAUCAACUGUCGAUGGUAGGUUCUGCGCCUACCAUGGUUGUAACGGGUAACGGGGAAUCAGGGUUCGAUUCCGGAGAGGGAGCCUGAGAAACGGCUACCACAUCCAAGGAAGGCAGCAGGCGCGCAAAUUACCCACUCCCGGCACGGGGAGGUAGUGACGAAAAAUAACGAUACGGGACUCAUCCGAGGCCCCGUAAUCGGAAUGAAUACACUUUAAAUCCUUUAAUGAGGAUCCAUUGGAGGGCAAGUCUGGUGCCAGCAGCCGCGGUAAUUCCAGCUCCAAUAGCGUAUAUUAAAGUUGUUGCGGUUAAAAAGCUCGUAGUUGAAUCUGUGUUUCAUACUGUUGGUUCAUCGCUCGCGGUGUUAACUGACAUGUUAUGGAACGUCCUACCGGUGGAUUUAGCUGAGGUAAAACUUGGCGGUCCAAUUUAAUCCUAUCGCGGUGCUCUUAAUUGAGUGUCGAGGUAGGCCGGUACGUUUACUUUGAACAAAUUAGAGUGCUUAAAGCAGGCUUAUUUCGCCUGAAUACUGUGUGCAUGGAAUAAUAGAAUAGGACCUCGGUUCUAUUUUGUUGGUUUUCGGAAUACCGAGGUAAUGAU
rnacentral:rRNA from 1 species